rnacentral:rRNA from 1 species
UGACGUGCUGCCGUCACUCCUGCACGAGGGUCGGAAU